GAUUUCGUAGCUCAAUGGGUUAGAGUAUCGGUUUCGCAUAAGCCGAAGGUUGAAGGUUCGAGUCCUUCCGAAAUUA
rnacentral:tRNA from 1 species